rnacentral:rRNA from 1 species
CCUACGGGUGGCAGCAGUGAGGAAUAUUGGUCAAUGGGCGGAAGCCUGAACCAGCCAUGCAGCGUGCAGGAUGACGGCCCUACGGGUUGUAAACUGCUUUUAUACGGGGCUAAAGGGCCUUACGCGUAGCCGUUUGCAUGUACCGUAUGAUUAAGGACCGGCUAAUUCCGUGCCAGCAGCCGCGGUAAUACGGAGGGUCCGGGCGUUAUCCGGAUUUAUUGGGUUUAAAGGGUGCGUAGGCGGCAGGCCAAGCGAGGGGUGAAAUCUCGAGGCGCAACCCCGGGCUUGCAGCGGAAACUGGUGUGUUAGAGUGCGGGUGCGGUAGGCGGAAUGUGUGGUGUAGCGGUGAAAUGCUUAGAUAUGACACAGAACACCGAUUGCGAAGGCAGCUUGCCAAGCUGGAACUGACGCUGAUGCACGAAAGCGAGGGUAUCGAACAGGAUUAGAUACCCCAGUAGUC